rnacentral:rRNA from 1 species
GUUGAACGCUGGCGGCAGGCCUAACACAUGCAAGUCGAGCGGAUGAAGGGAGCUUGCUCCUGGAUUCAGCGGCGGACGGGUGAGUAAUGCCUAUGAAUCUGCCUGGUAGUAGGGGAUAACGUCCGGAAACGGGCGCUACUACCACAUACGUCCUGAGGGAGAAAGUGGGGGAUCUUCGGACCUCACGCUCUCAGAUGAGCCUAGGUCGGAUUAGCUAGUUGGUGGGGUAAAGGCCUACCAAGCCGACGAUCCGUAACUGGUCUGAGAGGAGGAUAAGUCACAUGGGAAGUGAGACAGGGUCAAGAGUCCUAAGGGAGGGAGCAGUGGGGAAUAGUAGACAGUGGGCGAAAGUAUGACACAGCCAGGGCGAGUGUGUGAAGAAGGUGUUCGGAUUGGAAAGAAGGCUAAGUGGGGAGGAAGGGCAGUAAGUUAAGACCUUGCUGUAUUGACGUUACCAACAGAAGAAGCACCGGCUAACUUCGUG